rnacentral:rRNA from 1 species
AUUGAACGCUGGCGGCAUGCCUUACACAUGCAAGUCGAACGGCAGCAUGGAAGAGCUUGCUCUUCUGAUGGCGAGUGGCGAACGGGUGAGUAAAGCAUCGGAACGUACCGUGUAGUGGGGGAGUAACGUAGCGAAAGUUACGCUAAUACCGCAUACGCACUGAGGUGGAAAGCAGGGGAUCGCAAGACCUUGCGCUAUACGAGCGGCCGAUGUCAGAUUAGCUAGUUGGUGGGGUAAAGGCCCACCAAGGCGACGAUCUGUAGCUGGUCUGAGAGGAUGAUCAGCCACACUGGGACUGAGACACGGCCCAGACUCCUACGGGAGGCAGCAGUGGGGAAUAUUGGACAAUGGGCGAAAGCCUGAUCCAGCAAUGCCGCGUGAGUGAUGAAGGCCUUAGGUUGUAAAGCUCUUUUACCCGAGAUGAUAAUGACAGUAUCGGGAGAAUAAGCUCC